rnacentral:rRNA from 1 species
GGACCCUGUUCAACGGCCGCGGGAUCCUAACCGGGCGAAGGUAUCGUAAUCGCUUGUUCUUUAAAUAACGACUGGAAUGAAUGGCACCCCGAGGGUUACACUGUCUCCUCUUUCUAAUCAGUGAAACUAAUCUCCCCGUGAAGAAGCUGGGAUUUUUUUAUAAGACGAGAAGACCCUAUGGAGCUUUAAACUACUAACACUUGCUGCCAUUCACUCCCCCUUCCAAAAACUUUUUAUUAAGCAGAGCAUCGUGAUUGAUAUUUUUCGAUUGGGGUGAUCGAGGAGUAAAAAACAACCUCCAUGCCGAAAGGGCUUCCUCCCCUGAGCCGAAGGCUACCACUUAAAGCACUAAAAAAUUAACGUUUAUUGACCCAAUAAUUUUGAUCAACGAACCAAGUUACCCUAGGGAUAACAGCGCACUCCACUUCAAGAGCUCCUAUCGACAAGUGGGUUUACGACCUCGAUGUUGGAUCACGGUAUCCCAGUGGUGCGGCCGCUACUAACGGGUCGUUUGUUCUGCGAUUAAAACCCU